rnacentral:rRNA from 1 species
CGGGGGGGAGCAAGCGUUGUUCGGAUUUACUGGGCGUAAAGGGCGCGUAGGCGGCCACCGCAAGUCGACUGUGAAAUCUCCGGGCUUAACUCGGAAAGGUCAGCCGAUACUGCGGGGCUAGAGUGCAGAAGGGGCAACUGGAAUUCUCGGUGUAGCGGUGAAAUGCGUAGAUAUCGAGAGGAACACCUGCGGCGAAGGCGGGUUGCUGGGCUGACACUGACGCUGAGGCGCGAAAGCUAGGGGAGCGAACGGGAUUAGAUACCCCGGUAGUCCUAGCCUUAAACGAUGAAUGCUUGGUGUCUGGGGUUUUAUAGUCCCCGGGUGCCGUCGCUAACGCUUUAAGCAUUCCGCCUGGGGAGUACGGUCGCAAGACUG